rnacentral:rRNA from 1 species
AUGGCGGAAGGAAAUGAGGGCCACGUCAAUGAAUCCGAAAAUGAUGCCACAUCAACAUAUCGGUUCCGGGUACUUCUCGGGACAACCGACAAAAACAGAGAAGCACGAGGGGCACUGGUUAGGAUGGAGCUCAGAUCCUUAGCAAGGAAGAGAUGCAGGGGUUCGAACGGAGCCGAGGCUAGGCCUGUGGAAGCAGGGAAUGACGAGAGGCUGACGGAGAGCGCCGAGGUGGAGGCGACCCGAUCCGGCGGCGGGGAGCUCCAUCGGAGUAGGAAGGACUGCGGCGACAACCAUGGGGGCUCCUGCUCCUGUUGGGCGAUGAAGAUAGGCGCAGUGCCCAUGGCAGGGGCGGAGGCGCGGCGCCCCGGGUCGUCGGUGUCCGGCAGGGUCGCGGUGGCGGCCUCCAGCGAGGGAGCCGGACGGAGGCGGUGCGAUGGCGGCACUGGAGGGACGGGGAGAGGGAGCGAUGCGGCGGAGUGGGAGGACGUGACGAGGGGCAUGUGUGCGGCGCAGAAGGAAGGAUGGGAUCGAUUCGGUCCCUCUGGUGGCGGGGUGGAGAUGAGGGAAAGGGAGAGAUCGAUCGGGAGAUGA